GUGGUUCCAGUAGUGUGUAGUGGUUAUCACGUUCACUUCACACGCGAAAAGGUCUCCGGUUCAAUCCCGGGACGCAAACCACA